GAUGUACUCUCUCCAUCUGGAAAUACUCGUCGGAGAAAUGAAUGUAUCUAGAUGUAUUUUAAUUUUAGAUACAUCCAUUUUUAUCAAUUUUUCCGACAAGUUUUUUCGGACGGAGGGAGUAUAUC
rfam:Triticum aestivum genome assembly, contig: Triticum_aestivum_CS42_TGACv1_scaffold_220955_3B